UACGUAGGAUGCAAGCGUUGUUCGGAAUUACUGGGCGUAAAGAGUACGUAGGCGGUUUGAUAAGUCUGAUAUUAAAAGACUGAGGCUUAACCUCAGGAGUGUAUCGGAAACUGUCAGACUAGAGGACAAUAGAGGAAGUCGGAAUUCUCAGUGUAGCGGUGAAAUGCGUAGAUAUUGGGAAGAACACCGGUGGCGAAAGCGGACUUCUGGGUUGUUACUGACGCUGAGGUACGAAAGCGUGGGGAGCAAACGGG
rnacentral:rRNA from 1 species